AUUUGUAACAAGCUUGAUGGCAUUAUCAGCCUUGUUACAAGACUGUGCUAACAAGUUUGUUUCAACCAUGAUAUAACGAGAUGUUACAAGGGUGUCAACACAAGGUUGUAACAAUCUUGACAUAUCAAGCAUGUAACAGACUUGUCAGAACAACCUUGCAACAAGUGCAAUAACUUCAAUAAGGUUGUUACAAGUUGUCAACAAGUUGUUCCAAACCUGUUAACAACUUGUUACAAGCAGUGCGAAUACAUCUUGUUGAUGGCUUGUUGGCAGACUUGUUACAAUAUGUGAGAUAUAUAUGUGUGUACAAGUGCAGCAGCUAAAUCAUUGAAUCCCCAUGUGUUGCCAUGCAUUUUUAGUUGGAAUUCUUCAGGGGUAAAGGGUUUUGAGCUUGGAAUUCUUCAGGAGUAAAGGGUUUUGAGCUUGGAAUUCUUCAGGGGUAAAGAGGUUUGACUUUGAAAUUUUUCAGAGCUUGGAAUUCUUCAGGGGUAAAGGGUUUUCAGCUUGGAAUUCUUCAGGGGUAAAAGGUUUUGAGCUUGGAAUUUUUCAGGAGUAAAGGGUUUUGAGCUUGGAAUUCUUCAGGGGUAAAAGGUUUUGAGCUUGGAAUUCUUCAGGGGUAAAAGGUUUUGAGCAUGGAAUUCUUCAGGGGUAAAGGGUUUUGAGCUUGGAAUUUUGGAAUUCUUCAGGGGUAAAAGGUUUUGAGCUUGGAAUUCUUCAGGGGUAAAAGGUUUUGAGCUUGGAAUUCUUCAGAGGUAUAACCAUAAAAAAACAUGUAUCCUCGACAGGGGGUGUACGAAUAUUAAAUGGAAUAGCCCAAUACGGC